AGAGCGAACGCUGGCGGCAGGCCUAAUACAUGCAAGUCGAACGGACCCUUCGGGGUUAGUGGCGGACGGGUGAGUAACACGUGGGAACGUGCCCUUUGGUUCGGAACAACUCAGGGAAACUUGAGCUAAUACCGAAUGUGCCCCCAUCCUUAAACAAGAUGGGUGGGAAAGAUUUAUCGCCAUUGGAGCGGCCCGCGUCUGAUUAGCUAGUUGGUGAGGUAAAGGCUCACCAAGGCGACGAUCAGUAGCUGGUCUGAGAGGAUGAUCAGCCACACUGGGACUGAGACACGGCCCAGACUCCUACGGGAGGCAGCAGUAGGGAAUCUUGCGCAAUGGGCGAAAGCCUGACGCAGCCAUGCCGCGUGAAUGAUGAAGGUCUUAGGAUUGUAAAAUUCUUUCAGCGGGACGAUAAUGACGGUACCCGCAGAAGAAGCCCGGCUAACUUCGUGCCAGCAGCCGC
rnacentral:rRNA from 1 species